UUUUUUUUUCCUCUUUGUAUGUCUCAUAAUUUUUGUCAAAAACUGGAUGUUUUAAAUAAUACAAUGUGGCAACAUGCUCACUGGCUAACUGGAAGGUUGGAGGUUUGAGUCCACCCAGAGGUGCCUUGGAAGAAAGGCCUGAUGAUCUACUUCUGAAAAAUCAGUCAGUGAAAAUCAUAUGGAGCACAGUUCUAUUCUGACACACACAGGGCCACCAUGAGUCAGACUUGACGGCAACUACUUUGGAGGUCAGCAGGAAUGCCUCCUUUUGUUAAGACAAGCCCUAAGCAACUGCCAUUCAAGAAAAACUCAUCCCGAGGACUCUGACCUUGUCUCCCUGGAUGCUGUGAGGUCAGCCACAUUGGAAGUAAUUUCAUUCAUGCAGUUUUUAUUCACAGAAACCUGAACAGCCACCCCAAACUUGUGGCAAUCCUGGAGUUUAACAUUUAAGAAAUAAGGAAGUGUUUUGUUUUUUUUUUAAAUCCUUCUUCCAAUUGUCUAGUUAUGCCAGACUUUUCAUUUGUUUAUUCAUUAAGCAUUUAUUUCAACAUUAAAUGUGUUACAACUUAUACUUGAAUUAUACUUGAAAAGAGAUUCCUCAAAAACAAGUAAUUAUAACUUCUGAAUAUCGAAAUUCCCUCUGAUGAUUCUCCCAAAGCUGCUGAUCUUUACUGAGGUGUUUACUGUUCUGGGAUGGGCUGCAAAACGGAGAGAGAAAAUGCCACAAUUUUAAUGCAAUGCAAAGUAAAUAGCAUAGAAAGGUCAGGACCUUUGCGUGGGACCUCCCUUUUCAAAGUAAACACAAGCAUUUCGAGAGUUUGAAGAGACCAGGCCACUGGCUAAGCAAUUGGUCCAUUGGAUUAUAUAGUGCCACUCUGGCUCCCCACCCACAAACCCCAUGGCUUUAAAAUCUGUAAGACGGAGUUCUGACAUAACUCAUUGUUUUUGGUAGCUAACAUCUGGGCCACUUGAAGGAGAGCAGGUGAUAAGGAAGGCUCAGUGGACAGGAGUAGUAAAAGAUUCUCUGCUGUGAUAGUCCCCAGUGGCCAGAGCAGAGGGGUCGGUGCACUGAGGCCAGGACAGUGGGCUGGACAUGGAGCUGGCCUCCCUGGGACUCUGGGCUGUAAUCCAUGUGGUUCUUGGCAUUGUUUCCUGCCCUCCUGUGUCUAUCACAGGUCCCUGGCACUAAACCUGCCCUUCUGUCUGCCCCUCCUCUCUUGUUCUUCCUCGUCUUCCCUUUUGUCCUACUUCUCGUUGUCACCCAAGGUUUAGGGGGAGCAGGUUAACUGCAACAGGGGCGGCCAGUCUGGUGCAGCUGGGACACUUGGGGUGGGGCAGCCUCUACUGGGGCCAGCAAAUCUGGCCAGUGGUACAAACUGGCCAGGGGUGUGGAAAGAGGGGGACAGAGGCAGGGAGCAGCAGGAGUCAGUAAAACUUCAAAGGCGCAGGGAGUCCUGACUGUGCCAGAGCAAGUAAAGGCAGGACAGUGACUCCAGGUGAAGUGCACAAAUACCCAGGCAGGGUAACAUGUCCGGAAGCAGAUAAAGGGCUGAUGGGAAUUGGAGGAGCAUGGAUAGGAGAGUAGAGUAGGGUGGCUAAGGGCACAGCCUCAGCUGUGUGAUCUUGGGCAAUCUACGACUUAAUCUCUCUGUGCCUCAGUUUCCUCAUCAAAAAGGAAGACUAUUUCCUGCCUCACAUAAUUUGGUUUUAUGAUUUCAAUGAGGUAAUUGUAAUAAUAAUGGAAUCCCUGGGUGGUGCAAAAGGUUAAUGUGCUCAGCCACUAGCUGAAAGGUUGGAGGUUUGAGUCCACCCAGAGGUGCCUUGGAAGAAAGGCCUGGUGAUCCACUUCUGAAAAAUCAGCUAUUGAAAACCCUAUGGAGCAUAGUCCUACUCUGACACACAUGGGGUCACCAUGAGUUGGAAUCGACUCCAAGGCAACAGGUUUUGUAAGAUUUUAAUUAUAGUAAUGGAGGCACUGGGCUCUAGGCAGGUUGCUUGCUAUUCAGCAAGAUGAAGACCCUGUUCUCAAACUGAGAUGCAGGGUGUGGCUUGGGUCUGGAGAACACGCCUAUGGGCCUCAAGGUGGGAUUGGAAGAGGAGCAAAAUGAACCUGACCCAGAGUACCUGGGAACCAAGCUAGGGCCUGGCUUCCUGUGGGGGUGGAGCGAACUAGUUCUGCAAGGUGACAUGAGUAAGAAAGAUACCUUGUUAAAUCAUUUUUGGGAAAUGCCUCAUGAUAUAGCCCCUUCUUGGAGACUUACAAAACAUCGAUCCUAUGAGUGGUUUUGUGAAGUCUUGCCAUUAGGAAACCGGUUUAACCCCACUGAUGUCUCGUGGUUAUUCUCUCCCACCCCAGUACUUAUUAUCAUCCACAGGAACUAGAUAUUGAAGAAACAGUUGGGUUUUAAAUCUCUCUAAAUUCCUUCUUUCUCUUCCUAGGACUGGUCUCAGGGUGGGCCUGGGCCAGAGUGUUCUCAAGGGACCCCAACCAGGGGAGCAAUGACGGACCGGAGCAAGGAGUCGAAACCUGGCAGGGCCUGACGCUACUUUAUUUUCCUUCCUUUUUAAAUAAGCUUUUCAUUUUGUAAUAAUUUUAAGUUUACAGGAAAGUUGCAAAGAUAGCACAGAGAGUUCCCAUAUACUCUUCACCCAGCUUCCCCUAUGGGCUCAAGCAUAACAACAAUUGUGCAGAUGGCACAGGACUGGGCAGUGUUUCAUUCUGUUGUACAUUAGGGUUUCUAUGAGUUGGAACCGACUCGACAACACCUAACAACAACAAGAAACGUCCCCUAAAGUUAAUAACAUUUUACAUAACCAUGGUACAUACUUUACAACUAAGAAAUUAACACUGCUACAAUACUAUGAAUUAUCUACAGACUUCAUUCAAAUUGCAUCAGCUUUUCCACUCUGUCCCUUUUCUAUUCCAGGAUCUGAUCCUGAAUUCCACAUGACAUUUAGUUCAUUUUCCUUUUUUAUUCUCUCAUCUCCACCUUCUUUUUUCUGCAUUUCUCCCUCUGCCACUUCAUGGAUAGGACAGGGAGUGUAAGGUAGAGGACAGAGAGGUGAGUAAAAGAGUCCUCUCUGCUGGGGACAGCUGCCAUGAUGACUUUUGUGAGGUGAGCAGUGGCAGCAGGGGAAAGGGCCCACAGUGUGACCAGAUGGAGAGGGACCCCGGGACUCGGUUACCCAUGAGCAGGUGUAGGCAGCUGCAGACCCUGCAGGCUGAGAGAGCAGACUACAUGCGUCUGGAGGGUAGGGGGACUAGCCAACAGAGAAAUCCAUGAAGCUUGAAGUUGAGCUGCUUUUUGAGGAAAGUAACCUCAACUUACCUGUUGUGGCUGUCUGUGGAGUAAGCUAGUGAGACCCAGUUGAUUCGAUCACUAUAGGUCCAGGUAACAGUGAGAAUGAGCUCAGGUACCAAGGUAUCUUGGCAGGACCACUACUCCCAUGGUAUACUCCAUGGUGAUUGAAACAAGUCAACCAUCAUAUCCUUCCUGACGUAAAGGAUAAAAUCGAGGUGAACAUUGAGAAAGCAGACCAUGUAAGCUCCAGAGCUUUCUGGAACAAUAGGGUGAGACACUUUUUGGUCUCUGUGAAGCCCAAUCGAUAUGCCAAUGGAGCAGACACUACUGGAUGCUCACCCAACAUGGAUUACCCUCUUCUUUCUUGCUAACUGUUAUGGACUGAAUUGUGUCCCCCCACAAUAUGUAUUGUAAAUCCUAACCCCAUACCUGUGCUCACUAUGAGUCGGAAUUGACUCAACAGCGACAGGUUUUUUUGGGUUUUUUUCAUACCUGUGGUUAUAUUUCCAUUUGGGGAUGGGUUUUCUUUGUUAUGUUAAUGAGGCAGUAUUAGUGCAGGGUGUGUCUUAAGUCAGCCUCUUUUGAGAUAUAAAAAGAGCAGCUUGAGCAAGCAAUGAAACAAGCAAGCAGAGAUGGGGGAAGAUAGAUGCCACUCCACACGAGAUCUCCAAGGAACCAAAAAACAGAAGCUGAAAAGAGAUAAGGACUUUUCCCCAGAGCCAGCAGAGACAGAAAGACUUCCCUUAGAGCUGGCACCCUGAAUUCAGACUUUUAGCUUCCUAAACUGUGAGAAAAUGAAUUUCUGUUGGUUAAAGCCACAAAUUACAGAAGCACUGAAUAAAUAAGGCACUAACAUAGCUCUGAUUUUGUUCUGGUGCUAUCCUCUGUUCACCAACCAAAUGCUUCAGGAGGCUGGCCUCUGAGGGUAGGUCUUACUUGGUGUAAGCCAGUCAUGAUGCUGCCAUACUGCCUGCCAGGAUUGGUUUAAGCAUGGGCAUGUGGUACAAUUCUGGCCAAUGAGAUAGAGAGAGGAAGUUCUGGGGCAAGGGGGUCCUGGGAAACCUUUCCUCACUCCUGAGACUCAAAGGUGAGAUGGCUUCUUGAUGUGUCACCUAGAACUUGGGCAGCCAUCUUGCAACUGAGCAAGCAGUUAGACUGGCAGAAAGGAACCAGGGUCCUUGGUGACAUCACUGAGCCACCAAACCAACCAAACUUGGAGCUACCAUGCCUUUGGAUUUAUUCUGUGUGUAAGCAGUUGAAUUGGUUUUUUUUGUUACUUGCUGUCCUAAUGGAAUCACCAGGGCCAGAAGACCUGUGACCUGGAAGGACUGCACCCGAUGGGGCUGCUCUCAGUUUUCCCUCCUGGCCCUGUGAAUCCUUGCACUAGAACUCUGUUUUAGUUUCCUAUUGCUUCUGUAACAAAUGAUCACAAACUUAAUGGCUUAAACACACACACAUUUUUUCUCUUACAGUUCCGGAGUUCAGAGUCUAAAGUCAAGGUAUCGACAGGGCUGCAUUCCCUUCUGGGGCUCUUGGGGAGAAUUUGUUUCCUUGUCUUUUUCAGCCUCUAGAGGCUGCCUGCAUUCCUUUGCUAGUGGCUCCUUCCUCACAUCUCACCAACCUCUUGCUUCUGUUGCUACAUCUCCUACUAUUGAGUCUGACCCUCCUGCCUCCUUUUAUACGGAUGCUUGUGAUUACAUUGGGCCCACCCGGAUAGUCCAGGAUAAUCUCUCAAUUUUAAGAUACUUAAUUUAAUCACUUUUGCAAAGUUCUUUUUACCGUGUAAGCUAACAUAUUCAUAGGUUCUAGAGGUUAGGCUAGGGGCAUCUUUGGGGGGCUAUUAUUCUGCCUACCACAACCUCCCUUACCAUAGACGAUCUGUGCAUGUUCCCUCCUGGCUCCAUGGAGGGUGGUGGCUCCUGUGCUAUCCUCCCCCAGGAUACAACCUGACCCAGCUCACCUGGCAUUUCCCACAAACCAACUAUGGGGGCCCUAGUUUGGCCUAGUGUCUGCUCCUUGUAGAAGAGGCAAGCCUGGAGGUCAAAGAGAGGUAGGAAUUAGGGGUAAAGAAUGAGCUUUAGCUAUUUCUAAAGUGGAGAGAAACAGAGACUUAGUGUUUUCUCAAUAGCAGGGAAGCUGAAAAAGAUGUUGUCAGAGACCCACCAGAUGGUUCAGACGAGGUUCAGAUUUUCCUUAGAAACUGACUACUUUUGAGAACCCCACUUGAUGGACGUCAGGGCUUGAGCAACUCCGAGGAGAUUGGGGUGCUUAGGUGUCUCUCAGGGAUGUGAGCCUCAGAGCAGGACUCCAAGACCAAUAGACUUAUGGGUCUGUUUCCCAUCCAUUCUUGCCACUUGGCUAGAUUCAUGCUGGGAGAAUUCAGAAGAAUUGCAGGGUCAGCUUUGGGGAGAUUUCCAGUUAUUUUUCUCCUUUAUGCCACUUGAUGGGUUUCAGGCUGGGCCAAGGAGCCCCAUAUAUGAAUCCCAAAUGUGUUCUUCAUACCACAUUCCAGAAUGAGUCUUUGCUUGACCUUUGAGUCAGGUCUGGGGUAGGGUCAGUCUGUAAAAUGAGGGGCUGAGACCAGCCUUUAAUGCCUUCCAGCUCUCGAAUGCCAUGGCUUGUGGUUGGGAAAGGGACAUGGAAGAUCAUUUUUCUGGAGUCAGAAUCAGUGAGGCUAGAGCAUUUUAGGGCCAUUCACCCUCACCCCCAACCUCGGGAAAGGACGUGGUGGGAAGAUGGCUAAGUUAGCCUUGAGCGAUCGUUUCCCACAGCCUGGAUUGGGUGGUGGUGUUCUGGCUUCUGAGGAAUGAGAAAAUCAGGCCUCGUGGGUGACUCCAUCUUGCUCCAACUCCCUCUGUUCAGCCUCCUUAGAGCAGCCCCACGGGUGGGAAGAGGUCACAGCUUUGGAAUAGACCAGCCUCACCAAGACAAGCAGAUCCAUGACCCAGGAGAUGGUGAACACAACCACACAAAUCUUGUUUGGAGAAGUCAGUUCUUAAAGGGCAACCCAAGACAUCCUUUUGUUGGUCUAGAUUCCAGUGAUCACAACUCCUUACUCUUCUUCUUUGUGAGUCCCAAGAGAAUUAUGUACUUCUAAAAAAAAAAAUUUUUUUUUUUUUUUUUUCCUAAGGAAUGCUUUAUUUGAAGGUUGAAAGAGAAGAACUGAAGGGAACAAAAGAGAACCCUUAUUGACUCACUUGGUUUGGACAUGUCAUCAGGAAAGACCAGUUGCUAGAAAAACACAUCAUGUUUGGUAGAGGGUCAGCAGAAACAAGGGAAGCCCUCAAUGAGAUGAAUUGACACGAUAGCCACAACAAUAGACUCAAACAUGCCAACUAUCAAAAAGAUGGCACAGGACCAGGCAGUGUUUUUUUUUGUUAUAUACAAGGUCGCCAUGAGCUGGAGCCAACUUGAUGGCAAUUAACAAAGCAACAACAUCCAGUAGAGCUGAUGACCCAGUGGGUGAUGACAUCAACAGUUGAUAUGGAUGGCUCCCUAGAAGUGGCAUCAGUAGCCCUGAUAAGACAGAGGUCCCCAGGCUUUGGAAAAUUCCACUCCCUAAAGCAGCUUGUUUAGCAUGCCUGGUAACUUUAUAUUAAAAUCCUGCUUCCCCUCUCCUUAACUGCUGCCCAAAACUAGAGGAAAUUGGCAGAAACUAGCUCAGGUGCCAUGCUGACAUUCAGGGUAACCUUUUAGCUCAUUAAAUACUUCAUACGUAGUAACUUCCCUGCCUCUGGGUGGAGUUUAACCACCAAUUUCUGAACAUGCGGUGCAUGAAGAUAUAUGCAAACCCCAUUGCACCUGUGUAGUAUGAUUAAGAAUGUUGCUGAUGUAACUUGUAUGAACUUCCUACUUGUGACCGCCUUGAAAGUAACCUUCCUCUUGGCCCUUGCUGAGCAGUCUUGGUGGCAACAGCCCUGACUCCUCUUUUCCUUGCACAAUGAAAUAAAGGUACCUUUCUACUCUCCUACCUCAGUCUCUUGCUUAUUGGCUGAGAUGAGCUGUGCCAAGUAGAACCUGGGGUUUCUACUUGGCAACAUUUCAUUGGCAUGGUUCUGGCCUCAUGUGAACUACUCGUGCCCUUGCUAGACAUAAAUUUUCCCAGCCAGAUUACAAAAUCUAUGCUCUUCCUCAUCUCAGAGGAAGUUGUGGUUCAUCAACAGGGUCAGGCAUGUGACAAAACAGCUCUUUGGAAAAGAUGAGAAUGCUGGUCUGAAAAUCUUAACUCAUGGGAGCAAGGUAAGUACAGAGUCUCUUGCUGUCUGGCACUCGCUGCCUCCUAGCCCCCAAGGCAGUCUCUCUCAGCAGACCAUACAUGUAAUUAGUGUGGGGAGGCUUCUGGGAAGGCGUCAGUCUUUUCAGCCACAGAUAUACAUGAAGGAAAAGACCCACAAUGUUGGUGAGGGGGUGGCUCUAACACAUGGUUUUGGCAUUUGUCAGUGUCAUGGUUAGGGAUUCAAUGUGGGCCUGUCCUUUUUGUCACUUUGGGUUUCUGUGCCAAAGGUGGCUGAGGAGACUACUGGGGAGUGGGAUCUGAAUUGUCCUGUGCCAGCCCAGGGUGAUGGCAGAGAACAGCAAACCAGAGUUAAUGAGAUAAGAGACAAAAUGACUUGAUCCUUUGGGAAGAUUUUCAACAUUGUACCACUUCUUUUCCUUUAUCUCCAUUAUCUCCUCAGCCUCAAAGUAGCUAGAAAACUUCAGGCUCCAAGGUGUCCCUGGAGAAAGUGAGUGUUAUGGAUUGAAUUAUGUUCCCCCAAAAUAUGUAUUGGAAUCCUAACCCCUAUGGUGGCACAGUGGUUAAAGUGCUUGGCUGCUAAGUGAAAAGUUGGUGGUUCGAACUUACCAGUCGAUCCAUGGGAGAAAGAUGAAGCAGUCUGCUCUGUAAAGAGUAAACCCAUUGCCAUUGAGUCAAUGGGGCAGUUCUACUCUGUCCUAUAGGAUUGUUAUGUGUCAGAACUGAUAUGGCGGCAACAAGAUACCUGUAGAUGUAAUCCUGUUUGGGAAUAGGGUUUUCUUUGCUAUGUUAAUGAGGCAAUGUCAAUGUAGGGUGUGUUCUAAAUCUAAUCACUUCUGAGUUAUAAAAACAGCAGAGUAGAAACAGUAACAAACAUAAAAGGGGGAAGGUAGAUGCCACAUGAAGAUUGCCAAAAAAACCAAGGAAUGCUGGGGCUAUAGAAGGUGAAAGAGACAAGGAUCUUCGCCCAGAGCCAACAGAGAGAGAGUGAGCCAGUGCCCUGAAUUUGGGCUUCUAGCCUUGCGAACUGUAGGAAAAUACUUUCUCUUCUUUAAAGCCGUCUAUGUGUGGUAUUUCUGUUACAGCAGCACUAGGAAACUAUGGCUGGCUUUUUGCAGAAUCCAGGUAAAGUGGAAAGCAGGCACACACACACGUGAGAACAUGUUGGUCAUGAUAGCUAGAAAGGUGGCCAAUUUCUUGGGACCUGAAAAGGGGAAAUGGCGACCAGGCAGUGUCAUUCUUGAGGGAUAUCCUCAGACUGUGACCACUGGAAGAGGCUUCUGUCCAUGGUGGCCAUUGGCCAAUGACACUGGAUAGUUAAUCUCCCCAGAUGAGGCAGAACUGGAGGUAAAAUGGCAUAAAGGAAUCCCCUGUUUAGCCAAGAAAAUACAAGAUCUUCUUGUCAGUCAGUGUCCACAGUUGCAAGCAACUAAUUAUAUAUUAAACUGAAUAUAUAUGUAUAUCUUUGCUUAAACUGGAAACACUGGUGGCAUAGUGGUUAAGAGCUCAGGCUGCUAACCAAAAGGUUGGCAGUUCAAGUCUACUAGGCGCUCCUUGGAAACCCUAUGGGGCAGCUAUACUCCCUCCUAUAGGGUCGCUAUGAGUCAGAAUUGACUCGAUGGCAACAAGUUUUUUUUUUUUUGGUUUGCUUAAUCUGAACAUAUAUCCACUUUCUGGCUGAUAGAUGUUUAUGUUGCCUCCAAUUUUUUGCUAUUACACACAGUGCUACAGCGAACGUUGCUGCUCACGUUUCCUGAGGGCUCUGACACUAACUCACAUGUGGCCUUGUAUUGCCGUUUAACUCUUUACAGUUCACAUCUCCCUAGCUAAAGGCAAGACCUAGAAAGAAGAGGGAUUAAGCAAAGAGAGAUUAAUCAACAGAACAUUGGGCAGCUCAUGGUAGAUCUGGGAGCCCUGAGCACCCAUAGCCAGGUAGAGCACCUCAGCUCGUGCCAUAGACCCACCUGGUGAAGACACAUUUGCUCUGCUGCAGGCCUACUGGUGAUACCCCCAACACGGGGCAUUGGAGGCUGGGCUGGAGACAGAGUCCUGCAUGCCACCACUAUCACUGCUGCCCAUUGGCAGACUAGACUGUGCAUGCACCCUGCUUCUUCUUGUAGGUGACAGGGUCCAGGUCACUUACCUUGCCCACUUGCCAAGGGGUUGGAGAAGCCAGUGCCAGGCACUUUUUGUUUCCAGAGUGAGAGGUAGGUUCUGCCUCACAAGUUGGGGUGGGAGGCGCAAGCAUAGAAGUGGGUACAGGUAUUCGGUGACCAAAGGAAUGAGUUGCCCCUUACAAGUCACGAGGUCACAAGAACUCCAGAGGGAGAGAAGGUGACUACUAGGACAUCCUUUUGAGGCUAAUGUACCAGCCCCCAUCCUCUGGGGGUGAGGGGAAACGGUGCUGAGUCUCUCAGCUAUUUCCCACUUAAGGUCAGUUGUCUGUUCCUGUCUUUGUGAAAAUACUAACCAGGAAAGAGUUACCAUCGUUUUAAAUGGAAAAAAGUAUAAUAGACAUACCUGUCAGUCAGUUUCCUAAAUGUAAUUAAAUGUAGUAAAAACACACAUAUAAGUAAUAAACUAUCACGUUAGGAUGUAAAAUGCUUAAAACAUGCUUGUCAUUGUUGUUGUUAGUUCCUGUCAAGUUGGCUCAGACCCAUGGUGAUCCCAUGUACAAUAGAAGGAAAUGUUGCCCAGCCUUUCCUGUGCCAUCCUCACAAUCCUUGGUAUGGUUCAGUCCAUUGCUGGGGCCAGUGUGUAUUUUGAGUGCUUUCUAACCUAGAGGGCUCAUCUCCCAGCACUGUCCAGGACGAUAUUCUGUGGUGAGCCAUAGUUUUCAUUGGCUAAUUUUUGGAAAUAAAUCACCAGGACUUUCUUCCUGGUUUAUCUUAGUCUGAAGCUGCACUGAAAUCUGUCCGUCAUAGGUGACCCUGGUGGUAUUUAAAAUACCAGUGGCAUAGCUUCCAGUGUCACAGCAACGCACAAGCCUCCACAGUACUACAGCCUGUCAGACAGGUGGUGGGAAACAUGGCUUAAAAUUCCAAUAGUCAAUAUGGUUGUUAAUGGUUGCUUUGCACGAAGUGACACUGUAACUCCUGGCCUCUCAGCACCGGCAACAUCAGAAAGGCGCAUUCCCUUUGUUGACACUCCACUCUCUUUAUCAAAUAUGUCCACACACAUUCCUGAUGUUCUUUUAAUUACAAUGUUUACAAGACUUUAUUGACACAUUGUUUCACUUAAAAUGUAGUGUGUUCACUUUGUACAAGGCAGGGUCAUGGAAGUACCAUAGACACAUCCAAACUCCCUAAGGGGCCGAAUUGCUGGGCUGAGGGCUGUGGGGAUCACGGUCUCGGGAACAUCUAGCUCAAUUGGCAUAACAUUGUUUAUAAAGAAAAUGUUCUACGUUCUACUUUGGUGAGUAGCGUCUGGGCUCUUAAAAGCUUGCGAGCUGCCAUCUAAGAUACUUCACUGAUCUUACCCCUCAGGGAGCAAGGAAGAGUAAGGAAAACUAAACACACAAUGGAAAGAUUAGUCUAAAGGACUAAUGGACCAUAUCUACCAUGACCUCCACCAGACUGAGUCCAGUACAGCUAGGUGGUGCCUGGCUACCACCACCAACUGCUGUGACAGGGAUCACAAUAGACAGUCCCGGACAGAGCCGGAGAAACAUGUAGAACAAAAUUCUAACUAAAAAAAAAAAAAAGACCA